GAUUUCAGUUCCAGGUACUAUGUCUUGCUGAGGGAUUUGGCUUUGUCAGAUGACCCAAAGGGGCGGUGCCUCCGCCUGCUGCAGCAGUAUGACAACAGCAGCGCUGAAUGGCAGCUGGGAAAAACCAAAGUCUUUAUGAGAGAAAGUUUGGAGCUGCGUUUAGAGAAGCAGAGAGAAACAGAAGUGCUCAAAGCGGCUUCAAUUAUUCAAGCUCAUAUACUGGGAUACAGAGCAGUAC